rnacentral:rRNA from 1 species
CUACGGGAGGCACCAGUCGAGAAUCUUCCGCAAUGGGCGCAAGCCUGACGGAGCAAUGCCGCGUGAGUGAUGAAGGCCUUCGGGUUGUAAAACUCUGUCAGAGGGGACGAAAUUUGACGGUACCCUCAGAGGAAGCCACGGCUAACUACGUGCCAGCAGCCGCGGUAAUACGUAGGUGGCGAGCGUUAUUCGGAUUUACUGGGCGUAAAGGGUUCGUAGGGGGUUUGCCAAGUCUGAUGUGAAAUUCCGCGGCUCAACCGCGGACGUGCAUUGGAUACUGUCGAACUAGAGUUCCUGAUGGGAAAGCGGAAUUCCAGGUGUAGCGGUGGAAUGCGUAGAUAUCUGGAAGAACACCGGUGGCGAAGGCGGCUUUCUGGCAGGAUACUGACCCUCAUGGACGAAAGCGUGGGUAGCGAACAGGAUUAGAUACCCGAGUAGUC